rnacentral:rRNA from 1 species
GGGACACGUGGUAUCCUGUCUGAAUAUGGGGGGACCAUCCUCCAAGGCUAAAUACUCCUGACUGACCGAUAGUGAACCAGUACCGUGAGGGAAAGGCGAAAAGAACCCCGGCGAGGGGAGUGAAAAAGAACCUGAAACCGUGUACGUACAAGCAGUGGGAGCACCUUCGGGUGUGACUGCGUACCUUUUGUAUAAUGGGUCAGCGACUUAUAUUCUGUAGCAAGGUUAACCGUAUAGGGGAGCCGCAGGGAAACCGAGUCUUAACUGGGCGUUAAGUUGCAGGGUAUAGACCCGAAACCCGGUGAUCUAGCCAUGGGCAGGUUGAAGGUUGGGUAACACUAACUGGAGGACCGAACCGACUAAUGUUGAAAAAUUAGCGGAUGACUUGUGGCUGGGGGUGAAAGGCCAAUCAAACCGGGAGAUAGCUGGUUCUCCCCGAAAGCUAUUUAGGUAGCGCCUCGUGAAUUCAUCUUCGGGGGUAGAGCACUGUUUCGGCUAGGGGGUCAUCCCGACUUACCAACCCGAUGCAAACUACGAAUACCGAAGAAUGUUAUCACGGGAGACACACGGCGGGUGCUAACGUCCGUCGUGAAGAGGGAAACAACCCAGACCGCCAGCUAAGGUCCCAAAGUCAUGGUUAAGUGGGAAACG